rnacentral:rRNA from 1 species
UACGUAGGGGGCAAGCGUUGUCCGGAUUUAUUGGGCGUAAAGAGCGUGUAGGCGGCUAGGUAGGUCCGUUGUGAAAACUCGAGGCUCAACCUCGAGACGUCGAUGGAAACCAUCUAGCUAGAGUCCGGAAGGAGGAGAGUGAAUUCGUGGUGUAGCGGUGAAAUGCGUAGAUAUCGGGAGGAACACCAAUGGCGAAGGCAGCUUGCUGGGACGGUACUGACGCUGAGACGCGAAAGCCAGGGGAGCGAACGGG